GACGAACGCUGGCGGCGUGCCUAAUACAUGCAAGUAGAACGCUGAAGGGAGAGCUUGCUCUUCUGGAUGAGUUGCGAACGGGUGAGUAACGCGUAGGUAACCUGCCUGGUAGCGGGGGAUAACUAUUGGAAACGAUAGCUAAUACCGCAUAACAUUGACUAUUGCAUGAUAGUCAAUUGAAAGGUGCAAAUGCACCACUACCAGAUGGACCUGCGUUGUAUUAGCUAGUUGGUGGGGUAACGGCUCACCAAGGCGACGAUACAUAGCCGACCUGAGAGGGUGAUCGGCCACACUGGGACUGAGACACGGCCCAGACUCCUACGGGAGGCAGCAGUAGGGAAUCUUCGGCAAUGGACGGAAGUCUGACCGAGCAACGCUGCGUGAGUGAAGAAGGUUUUCGGAUCGUAAAGCUCUGUUGUAAGAGAAGAACGAGUGUGAGAGUGGAAAGUUCACACUGUGACG
rnacentral:rRNA from 1 species